rnacentral:rRNA from 1 species
ACAAUGAAGAGUUUGAUCCUGGCUCAGGAUGAACGCUAGCUACAGGCUUAACACAUGCAAGUCGAGGGGCAUCAGGAAGAAAGCUUGCUUUCUUUGCUGGCGACCGGCGCACGGGUGAGUAACACGUAUCCAACCUGCCCUUUACUCGGGGAUAGCUUUUCGAAAGAAAGAUUAAUACCCGAUAGCAUAAUGAUUCCGCAUGGUUUCAUUAUUAAAGGAUUCCGGUAAAGGAUGGGGAUGCGUUCCAUUAGGUUGUUGGUGAGGUAACGGCCCACCAAGCCUUCGAUGGAUAGGGGUUCUGAGAGGAAGGUCCCCCACAUUGGAACUGAGACACGGUCCAAACUCCUACGGGAGGCAGCAGUGAGGAAUAUUGGUCAAUGGGCGCUAGCCUGAACCAGCCAAGUAGCGUGAAGGAUGAAGGCUCUAUGGGUCGUAAACUUCUUUUAUAUAAGAAUAAAGUGCAGUAUGUAUACUGUUUUGUAUGUAUUAUAUGAAUAAGGAUCGGCUAACUCCGUGCCAGCAGCCGCGGUAAUACGGAGGAUCCGAGCGUUAUCCGGAUUUAUUGGGUUUAAAGGGAGCGUAGGUGGACUGGUAAGUCAGUUGUGAAAGUUUGCGGCUCAACCGUAAAAUUGCAGUUGAUACUGUCAGUCUUGAGUACAGUAGAGGUGGGCGGAAUUCGUGGUGUAGCGGUGAAAUGCUUAGAUAUCACGAAGAACUCCGAUUGCGAAGGCAGCUCACUGGACUGCAACUGACACUGAUGCUCGAAAGUGUGGGUAUCAAACAGGAUUAGAUACCCUGGUAGUCCACACAGUAAACGAUGAAUACUCGCUGUUUGCGAUAUACAGUAAGCGGCCAAGCGAAAGCAUUAAGUAUUCCACCUGGGGAGUACGCCGGCAACGGUGAAACUCAAAGGAAUUGACGGGGGCCCGCACAAGCGGAGGAACAUGUGGUUUAAUUCGAUGAUACGCGAGGAACCUUACCCGGGCUUAAAUUGCAGUGGAAUGAUGUGGAAACAUGUCAGUGAGCAAUCACCGCUGUGAAGGUGCUGCAUGGUUGUCGUCAGCUCGUGCCGUGAGGUGUCGGCUUAAGUGCCAUAACGAGCGCAACCCUUAUCUUUAGUUACUAACAGGUUAUGCUGAGGACUCUAGAGAGACUGCCGUCGUAAGAUGUGAGGAAGGUGGGGAUGACGUCAAAUCAGCACGGCCCUUACGUCCGGGGCUACACACGUGUUACAAUGGGGGGUACAGAAGGCAGCUAGCGGGUGACCGUAUGCUAAUCCCAAAAUCCUCUCUCAGUUCGGAUCGAAGUCUGCAACCCGACUUCGUGAAGCUGGAUUCGCUAGUAAUCGCGCAUCAGCCACGGCGCGGUGAAUACGUUCCCGGGCCUUGUACACACCGCCCGUCAAGCCAUGGGAGCCGGGGGUACCUGAAGUACGUAACCGCAAGGAUCGUCCUAGGGUAAAACUGGUGACUGGGGCUAAGUCGUAACAAGGUAGCCGUACCGGAAGGUGCGGCUGGAACACCUCCUUU